AUAAAUAAAGAGACUACAUAGCGUUGUUGUUAUUCUUUUAAGAAAACCGGACAGCUCCUUUCCUAACUUAACCCCACAACAAUCAUACCUGUUAGUUAUGAUAAAGAAAAUAAACUCUGUCACACAUGUUUGAAGGAUGUAAGUUAGGGCUGUCAAUAGAUUUUAGCAUCUGCCGUCCACCGUUAGCCAGCUAAUAUCAACCACACUGACAUGCGCCGUUCUGUGAAAGAAGAUCCGGAUUAUCACACUGUUAUUUAAAACUCAACAACAGACCUCACAAUUAAAUGGCAUACUAAACACCACUCGUGGAUUUGCCAACAAAGAGGUAGCGUUAACCGUGGAAGGCCACGGGCAUAGCUGAGUAUAGCUACUACUAGCAGGCUAGCAAAGGUCCAAAACCAAUGCUUGCCAAGACAAAGGAGCGAUUAGGGCACUUGGACCCUGAGGGAGGCUGCCUUUCGUCGCUGCUCUGCCCAGCUGCUGAGCAACGAUACUGCACAGAGAGAGAGACAUGCACAUAGCCACAUGCAGACAUGGUGAAGGAAGAUUGAUACAGCAUGCGAUUGAAGUCUAGGCGCUGGUCAUCGACCCAGAACCAGAACUCCAGGGUGCAGGUGUAGUGAAGGCCCAGCCACACAAAGGGAGUGUUGGCCUUCUUGGCCUCCAGCUCAGCCCAGGCCUGGGUGUCUUCAUCAACGAUGGAAGCCAGGUCCAUGUAAUUGUCCCUGCAGUAGUACAGGGCCUCUUCCCACGUCUUACUCUCAUUGAUCAGCACAAAGGGUGGAUCUAGAAAAAACAAAACAUCAGUGUUACAUUUUUCAAGCGCAUUGAAACUAAACAAGGGAACAGGGUGACACACAACAAGGACUUUAAGAGCAGAGGGUCCAAAAACAGAGGAGUCAUCCACUUUAGAAUUCUUUCCUCUGAUAAUGGC